GUCCCUUUAUACCACCUGGACCUACCGCGGUUUUCCAGACACUACCUGCAUGAAGGACGGAGCGGUUAUGAGGGGCUGUAUUCAUUCAUGAGAUGCAGCUCACGUGUGCAUCAGGAACCAGAUGGACCCAUCGGGAUCAGAGCAAUCUCCAGUCUUGAACUCUGUCUCACUUUUGCUGGUGAAGCCCAAAUCUGAGGCUGUGUUCAAACCAGUCUCUUCUUCCUCUCCUCUAAGCAAGCAAUGAAAUGGCAGCCCCUCUCCUGAGGAGGAAACACAGUACCUACCCCACACUUGGCCUGGCAGCUCAUGACAUCUAUGCACUAGCCCAGCAGCAGAAAGUCCAAGCUCACUCUUCCUAAGCAAGAACCAAUGCCUUGGGGCCCAAAGCCAAGCUCGCAGCCACACAUACGGAGAAAAAGCACAGAGGGUAAAAAAGUCUGCAUUUAAGACCACCCUUGACCCGCAACAUGCUUUCACCAGCAACAUUGCUCCAGCAUUGAAGUGGGGAGGCUUCCAUGCAGACAAAACUGUAAGGGCUGCAUUGUCAUCUCUCUGGGACGGCUCCUAAUGGUCAAAAAGUUCUUCACUUAAGUUCAUGAUCAUCACAGGUCCGGUUACCAAAAGAGAUUCAUCUGUUUGAACCUUGAUAUGUGUGAGUCUACUCACUGGAAACAAGCAGCCGAUUUAAAAAGAUAUUGGAAGAACAGCUUGGACACAGAGAAAGGAAUGACCUGGAGUCUUAAAAAACAGACAAGCUUUUCAGUAGCUUGGCACUUGGAACAAGAAGCUAAAAGUCACAUAAGGCCCUGCUCCAUGUUCUUCAGGAUAUCACAGCAGUCAGCAGCCCCAGCGAUUGGCAGCGGCAGCACAGUGACUCACCAGGCCUGGCCCUCCUUGCGCUGA
rnacentral:lncRNA from 1 species